GUUUCAAUUCCUCAUAGGCAGGCUAUCGGCAAUCCGCAUCAUGCUCUCGGCUAGGCAGUCACGGGG
rnacentral:sRNA from 1 species